rnacentral:rRNA from 1 species
UAGGGAAUCUUCCGCAAUGGGCGAAAGCCUGACGGAGCAACGCCGCGUGAGUGAUGAAGGUCUUCGGAUCGUAAAACUCUGUUAUUAGGGAAGAACAAAUGUGUAAGUAACUAUGAACGUCUUGACGGUACCUAAUCAGAAAGCCACGGCUAACUACGUGCCAGCAGCCGCGGUAAUACGUAGGUGGCAAGCGUUAUCCGGAAUUAUUGGGCGUAAAGCGCGCGUAGGCGGUUUUUUAAGUCUGAUGUGAAAGCCCACGGCUCAAACGUGGAGGGUCAUUGGAAACUGGAAAACUUGAGUGCAGAAAAGGAAAGUGGAAUUCCAUGUGUAACGGUGAAAAGCGCAGGGAUAUGGAGGAACACCAGUGGCGAAGGCGACUUUCUGGUCUGUAACUGACGCUGAUGUGCGAAAGCGUGGGGAUCAAACAGG